UUGUGCUUGAUCUAACCAUGUGGCUGCCGGGUCAAAUAGUGGGACAUGGUUCCGUCAAGCACCAGG
rnacentral:pre_miRNA from 1 species